UACAGAGGUCUCAAGCGUUGUUCGGAUUCAUUGGGCGUAAAGAGCUCGUAGGCGGCUUGUCACGUCGGAUGUGAAAGCCCGGGGCUUAACUCCGGGUCUGCAUUCGAUACGGGCUGGCUAGAGUGUGGUAGGGGAGAUCGGAAUUCCUGGUGUAGCGGUGAAAUGCGCAGAUAUCAGGAGGAACACCGGUGGCGAAGGCGGAUCUCUGGGCCAUUACUGACGCUGAGGAGCGAAAGCGUGGGGAGCGAACAGG
rnacentral:rRNA from 1 species